CCUACGGGUGGCAGCAGUGGGGAAUAUUGGGCAAUGGGCGCAAGCCUGACCCAGCAACGCCGCGUGAAGGAAGAAGGCUUUCGGGUUGUAAACUUCUUUUCUCAGGGACGAAGCAAGUGACGGUACCUGAGUAAUAAGCCACGGCUAACUACGUGCCAGCAGCCGCGGUACUACGUAGGUGGCAAGCGUUAUCCGGCUUUACUGGGUGUAAAGGGCGUGUAGGCGGGAAAGCAAGUCAGAUGUGAAAACCAUGGGCUCAACCUGUGGCCUGCAUUUGAAACUGUUGUUCUUGAGUACGGGAGAGGCAGACGGAAUUCCUAGUGUAGCGGUGAAAUGCGUAGAGAUUAGGAGGAACACCAGUGGCGAAGGCGGUCUGUUGGACAGCAACUGACGCUGAGGCGCGAAAGCGUGGGGAGCAAACAGGAUUAGAUACCCUUGUAGUC
rnacentral:rRNA from 1 species